rnacentral:rRNA from 1 species
AUAAAUAUAUACAACAUGUACUCGAAACCCUAGACCCAGCAACUCCGAAUGACAUGGAGCUUAUCGAUCAAGAUGAACUCGAACAACACCUACUGAGAAGGUCUACUUGUCUGUCUAUCUGAACCUGCAGGCAUGAAAUGCAGUGUCGCAGCAAAAGGGAUGUCAGUACUAAAUAAUGUAUCGAGUAUGUAAGGUAAUAGAAUAAAUGAAAGCUAAACCUGAACUGAUAAUUUAAUAACUGAAAGUAACUGGGAGUCAAAAGAGACCUAAAGGUAUGCUUACCUAUUGAUACUGACUUAAAUAUCUCAAUAUAGUAUGUAAAAUAGCUUUUCGGUCCUAUAAGAUUCGGUACGUGUAACUGCUCAGCUGUAGUAAUCUUGCUCAUAGGCGCUCGAACAUACUAGACUCGGUAUCUCAUCCAUUCUAGGCUCGCUCAUAGGCAUCGCGACCAUAAUAGGCUUGGUAUAUAUCUUACCAUAUGAUGUGAGGUUGCCUAAUAGGGGCCUGCCCACCGAUUAUAACUUAGUGGUGGUAAAAAUAUUGUAAUAUUGUACAUGUAUAUACAGACCCUAUGCUCUCUUGACUUAAAGAAGAUAAAACUUAAUUGAAUAUAGAGUCCUAAUAAGGAAGAAUACAGUAAUUUAUGAGACUAGGAUAAUGUAAAUAAAUUCAGGAAUAUGAACUUCUCUUUAUGUCUCGUUAUCAAACGCAUGUAGUUACGAGAUCAUGCCAAAAUGAAGGAAGAUUUAGUCUUAACGUACCUUUGUCACCUAAUCAAUGAUCCUCUCUCUCUCUCUCUCUCUCUCUCUCUCUCUCUCUCUCUCUAUAUAUAUAUAUAUAUAUAUAUAUAUAUAUAUAUAUACACAUAUAUAUACACACACACACACACACCGAAGAGUUAUCUUUUAUAUUUAACAGCCUGCCCACCCUACAAACGACUCAGUCGGAGGUAGGUCCAGCGGCUGGAAGAGCACAGCACGUUGCAUGGUGUCCGAUGCGCCCUCGGAGGCCUUUAAAAAUUUGGAGGACCGAGUACCUACCACGCCUGGUCGUACUUAUAACCGCAUCAAGUCUCCAAGGUGAACAACCUCUGGUCGUUGGAAUAAUGUAGGCAAGGGAAGUCGGUAAAAUGGAUCCGUAAAUUUUGGGAAAAGGAUUAGCUCUGAAGGUUAGACACGAGGGUCUCAGUCCCGAAUCCGUUGGUUGUCGGUGGACUGCUCGAGCUGCUCUCAUAGCGAGAGCGGGUUGCCGCAUUCCAGCCAGGGGACAAACAGGGAGCGGUUCCCUCGGGGUCCUUCCACGGGCGUCAAACAGCCAACUCAGAGCUGGUAUGGACAAGGGAAUCAGACUGUUUUAUUAAAACAAGGCAUUGAGAUGGUCCGUGCGGAUGUUUGCGCAAUGUGAUUUUUGCCCAGUGCUCUGAAUGUCAAAGUGAAGAAAUUCAACCAAGCGCGGGUAAACGACAGGAGUAAAUAUGACUCUCUUAAGGUGGCCAAAUGCCUUGUCAUCUAAUUAGUGACGCGCAUGAAUGGGUUAACGAGAUUCCGACUGUCCUUGCCUACUAUCCAGCGAAACUAAAACCAAGGGAACGGGCUUGGCAGAAUAAGUGGGGAAAGAAGACCCUAUUGAGCUUGACUCUAUUCCGACUUUGUGAAAUGACUUAAGAGGUGUAGUAUAAGUGGGAGACGAAAGGCGAAAGUGAAAUACCACUACUUUAACAUUAUUUUGCUUAUUCCGUGAAUCAGAAGCGGGGCAUUGCCCCUCUUUUUGGACCCAAGGCUUGCUUGUAGGCCGAUCCUGGCAGAAGACAAUAUCAGGUUGGGAGUUUGGCUGGGCGGCACAUCUGUUAAAAGAUUACGCAGAUGUUCUAAUAUGAGCUCAACGAGAACAUAAAUCUCAUGUGGAAUAGAAGGGUAAAAGCUUGUUUGACUAUGAUUUUUAGAACGAAUAUGAUCCAUGAAAGAGUGGCCUAGCGAUCCUUUAGACCUUCGGAAUUCAAAGCUAGAGGUGUCAAAAUAGUUACUACAGGGAUAACUGGUUUGUGGCAGCCAAGCAUUCAUAGCGACGUUGCUUUUUGAUCUUUCAAUGUCGGCUCUUCUUAUCAUGGUGAGGCAAAAUUCACCAAGUGUUGGAUUGUUCACCCACUAAUAGGGAACGUGAGCUGGGUUUAGAUGUCAUGAUAUAGGUUAGUUUUACCCUACUAAUGACAGCGUCGCAAUAGUAAUUAAACCUAGUACGAGAGGAACCGUUGAUUUACAUAAUUGGUCAUCGCGCUUGGAUGAAAAGCCAGUGGCGCGAAGCUAACGUGCGCCGGAUUAAGACUGAACGCCUCUAAGUCAGAAUCUAAGCUAGAAGUGAUAUGUGCGUCUACUGUCUCUUGCCGACCCGCAGUAGGGGCCUUUGGCCCUAAGGGCAUGUGUCGUUUGCUAAGUCAUCACGGCGAAAGAGCCACGGAGUCUUCCUUGAAGUAUAACUUCCAUCGAGCGGCGGGUAGAACCCUUUGCAGACGACUUAAAUACGAAACGGGGUAUUGUAAGUGGCAAAGUGGCUUUGCUGCCACAGUCCACUGAGAUUU